AACAGGGAUUGCCCUAGUAACGGCGAGUGAAGCGGCAACAGCUCAAAUUUGAAAGCUAGCCUUCGGGUUCGCAUUGUAAUUUGUAGAGGAUGAUUUGGGGAAGCCGCCUGUCUAAGUUCCUUGGAACAGGACGUCAUAGAGGGUGAGAAUCCCGUAUGUGACAGGAAAUGGCACCCUAUGUAAAUCUCCUUCGACGAGUCGAGUUGUUUGGGAAUGCAGCUCUAAAUGGGAGGUAAAUUUCUUCUAAAGCUAAAUAUUGGCGAGAGACCGAUAGCGCACAAGUAGAGUGAUCGAAAGAUGAAAAGCACUUUGGAAAGAGAGUUAAAAAGCACGUGAAAUUGUUGAAAGGGAAGCGCUUGCAAUCAGACUUGUUUAAACUGUUCGGCCGGUCUUCUGACCGGUUUACUCAGUUUGGACAGGCCAGCAUCAGUUUCGGCGGCCGGAUAAAGGCUCUGGGAAUGUGGCCUCCACUUCGGUGGAGGUGUUAUAGCCCAGGGUGUAAUACGGCCAGCCGGGACUGAGGUCCGCGCUUCGGCUAGGAUGCUGGCG
rnacentral:rRNA from 1 species